AGAGUUUGAUCCUGGCUCAGGACGAACGCUGGNGGCGUGCUUAACACAUGCAAGUCGAACGGUGACCUCGGAGCUUGCUCCGAGUGAUCAGUGGCGAACGGGUGAGUAACACGUGAGUAACCUGCCCCUGGCUCUGGGAUAACCCCGGGAAACCGAGGCUAAUACCGGAUAUGACACGGAGAGGCAUCUCUACCGUGUGGAAAGUUUUUCGGCCAGGGGAUGGACUCGCGGCCUAUCAGCUUGUUGGUGAGGUAACGGCUCACCAAGGCGACGACGGGUAGCCGGCCUGAGAGGGCGACCGGCCACACUGGGACUGAGACACGGCCCAGACUCCUACGGGAGGCAGCAGUGGGGAAUAUUGCGCAAUGGGCGAAAGCCUGACGCAGCGACGCCGCGUGAGGGAUGAAGGCCUUCGGGUUGUAAACCUCUUUCAGCAGGGAAGAAGCGAAAGUGACGGUACCUGCAGAAGAAGCACCGGCUAACUACGUGCCAGCAGCCGCGGUAAUACGUAGGGUGCAAGCGUUGUCCGGAAUUAUUGGGCGUAAAGAGCUCGUAGGCGGUUUGUCGCGUCUGGUGUGAAAAUCCAGGGCUUAACCCUGGACCUGCAUCGGGUACGGGCAGACUANAGUGCGGUAGGGGAGAUCGGAAUUCCUGGUGUANCGGUGAAAUGCGCANAUAUCANGAGGAACCCCGGUGGCGA
rnacentral:rRNA from 1 species